GUAGAAGUAGUAAUAGUGUAGAAGUAGUAGUAAUAGUAUGAUGGUGGUAGUGGUGAUAGAAGUAGUAAUAGUAGUAAUAGUUAUAGCAAAUAGUUAUAGCAGGUGAGAAAAAUUAAUGAUAAUAAGAUGUUAAAGUGAGUAAGACGUUUUUUUCUUCACUGUAAUGAAAAAGGUGUUAAGAUUUUACACAUAACUACUAGACGAGAGACACAAAAAAUAUAUACGAUCAUAAUUAAUAAUAGCAAUAAUAAUAAUAAUAAUAAUAAUAAUAAUUAUUAUACUUCGUCUUUCGAUACUUGUCGAACAAUCGCUCGUCCUUAAUUCAACUACAGAUUAAGAAAGUUUAGCUUCCUUUAAGUACGUUUAAGUCUCACUGGUUGGACAGGAAAAAGAAAAAGGGGAAAA